CAUAAUUUCUCUCUCUAAAACUAUACAAAUUUUCUUUUUAAUGGUUCUCAAAUUUCAUCAUGCUUCAUUAAUCCAAGUCUAUUUGAGAUGGCAGAAAGUCUCAAGGGUCCAUGGAAAGCUAUUUGGAAAAGCAUGGCACCAACAAAGGCUUGAAUUAUUGGAGAGAUAUGCAUGAAUGGAGUUUGUGAGGGCAACAAAUGAAAAGGCAGUGAAAUUGUUAGUUGUGAGAGGUAUGUGGGGUGGUGGAGGAGAUGUAUCAGACACUCUAGAAGAUCUCCUCAAUAACUGUUCGAGUGUUUUGGUGGAGAAAUCAUCAAAAUCAUCUUCGUCAUUUGGUUGUACUAAGGGUGGUAAAGAAGGAGGAGCAUGUUCUACUUCAACUAAGUCAAAAGCUUCAAGUUCCUCCGCUGUUGGGACAAUGUUUGAACAUGUAAUUUGAAUGUAUCACAACACAGAAAAUAAUUUAAAUGAUAAGAGAAGACUUAAUGUAUCA